rnacentral:rRNA from 1 species
UUAACCCAUGCAUGUUUUUGAAGAUUAUUAUCUGAAAAAUGGACUGCUCAGUAAUACUCACUUUAUUUUAUGUGCACCGCAGAUAACUACGUUAAAGUGUAGAUAACAUGUGUACAGUAAGAGUGAGACCUAUCAGCUAGUUGUUAAGGUAAUGGCUUAACAAGGCAGUGACGGGUAACGGUAUUACUUUGUAAUAUUCCGGAGAAGGAGCCUGAGAGACGGCUACUAAGUCUAAGGAUUGCAGCAGGGGCGAAACUUGACCUAUGGAUUUUAUCUGAGGCAGUUAUGGGAAGUAAUAUAUUAUUGUUUCAUAUUUUAAAAAUAUAUGAGGUGAUUAAUUGGAGGGCAAAUCAAGUGCCAGCAGCCGCGGUAAUACUUGUUCCAAGAGUGUGUAUGAUGAUUGAUGCAGUUAAAAAGUCCGUAGUUUAUUUUUAAGAAGCAAUAUGAGGUGUACUGUAUAGUUGGGAGAGAGAUGAAAUGUGACGACCCUGACUGGACGAACAGAAGCGAAAGCUGUACACUUGUAUGUAUUUUUUGAACAAGGACGUAAGCUGGAGGAUCGAAGAUGAUUAGAUACCAUUGUAGUUCCAGCAGUAAACUAUGCCGACGAUGUGAUAUGAGUAUUUGUAUUACAUAGUAGAAAUUAGAGUUUUUUGGCUCUGGGGAUAGUAUGAUCGCAAGAUUGAAAAUUAAAGAAAUUGACGGAAGAAUACCACA